rnacentral:tRNA from 1 species
GGAGAGAUACCCAAGUGGCUGAAGGGGGCGGUUUGCUAAACCGUUAGUGGUAGAAAUGCCAGCGAGGGUUCGAAUCCCUCUCUCUCCGCCA